CUGGAAUUUCUGAUCCUUUGCUGGUCUUCGAGAUAUGAAGCAUGCUAUAUUUAGCAGUUAAAGUCUUUUCAGUUAAGGAUGAUGAAUUUCUGAAAAAUCUGACAAAAGUUAAUGCAACUUUUCCAACUUACAUUGUAGGACUGCUGAUAUAAGUCGUGGAUAUACCACCUGGAACAUUUAUUUCCUAUACAAAAGGACUUAUUUGCAGUCAAAACCCGUGCACAGAUGCCUGUGGUGACAGAAUAGAAGAAAGGACCUCUGAAGAUGACAUGCUGCAAGUAAGAAGUAUGAAGUGGAACAUAAACUGGCAAUAGCAGCUGAAGUUAUGGAGCACCCAAAACUUAUAGAACAUGAAAAAAUGGACAAGAUUUAUAUAUUUCAUUCAGUCAUUAUAUGGCCUAUUUUUGGUAUUGUCAUAUACCAUAGGCUUUAAACUCAAACUACAAGAGAAUAUCAGCAGCAGCUAUUCCAAUUGGUCCAGUAAACUAUACAACUUCUCCCUAAGAAAUCUGCUUAUUAACCAACAAAAUUGGAUACUUCGAGAGUCAAAAUCCUUCCUGACAAUUCCCCGCCUGCCCUGCCAUCCUCCUGGCUGGGCACGGGUCCCGUGUCCUCUGUUAUGCAGAGAAUCAGCCCUCCAAGGCCUCCCCCAGCAUCCAGAGCUCCUGUGCAGCUCACACUGGAGCUGCUCAUCGCUCUCUGGGUAAUUCCAGCAGAGGAAGAUUGCAACCAUCAAUUCAAGAAACUCACCCACUCAAAGGAAGAGAAAGACAUGAAGGAAGAGAGCAUGGAACUAAUUAGCAUGAGAAGUGAGAGGAUCAUUCAACCAGUAGAAAACUAAUUAAUAAGGAAACUAGAUAACUUUGUAGCUAAUGAACCGUGAUUUUUUUUUUUUUUUUUUUUUUUUUUUUUUGUUGGAAUGUAUGAAGUGCAAAGUUUUGAGAAUCAGCAUGCGAGUUUUGUGGAUUUAGCAACUAGU
rnacentral:lncRNA from 1 species